UUCGACUGGCACAGGGUCUGACUCAUUUAGGUAAAGGCACACUCACCCUCUGUCCAUACCACAGUGACAGACAGCUGAUGAGUCAGGUGGCUGUAGCAGGAUUGCUCACUGUACUUGUGUCCUUCCUUGAUGUCAAGAACAUAAUUCUGGGGGAAGUCUCACUACAUCCUCUAUGGUCUGGUAGCAGCCAUGCAGCCACGCAUGUUGGUCACCUUUGAUGAGGAGCUUCGACCGCUG